rnacentral:rRNA from 1 species
CCUACGGGAGGCAGCAGUGGGGAAUAUUGCGCAAUGGGCGAAAGCCUGACGCAGCGACGCCGCGUGAGGGAUGAAGGUCUUCGGAUCGUAAACCUCUGUCAGCAGGGAAGAACGGUCACUGUGCUAAUCAGCAGUGAUUUGACGGUACCUGCAAAGGAAGCACCGGCUAACUCCGUGCCAGCAGCCGCGGUAAUACGGAGGUUGCGAGCGUUGAUCGGAAUUAAUGGGCGUAAAGCGCUCGUAGGCGGUAUGUCAAGUCAAGGGUGAAAUCCCCGCGCUCAACGUGGGAACUGCCUUUGAAACUGGCAAACUGGAGUGUGUGAGAGGAUAGUGGAAGUCCAGGUGUAGGAGUGAAAUCCGUAGAUAUAUGGAGGAACACCAGUGGCGAAGGCGACUAUCUGGCACAUAACUGACGCUGAGGAGCGAAAGCGUGGGUAGCGAACAGGAUUAGAUACCCGGGUAGUC